CGACCCCGAGCCCAUCUUGUCUCUCUGCUCGCGAGGAGACGCCCGCGCCCCUCUCCUCGUUUCGCUCGCUUCCCUCGCCCCUCGCCGGCAGCCGCCGUCCGUUGCCUCCUGGUGGCCGCCCGCCGCGCCGCCGUAUCCCGAGAUCCGCGGCCCCUCCUCCACUCUGCGCGGCCAGGCCCGCCUUCCUCUAGAGCUCGUCGCCCACUGGCCCUGCACUUCCUGCAAGCACGCCGCCGGCCGUCGCCACCUCGACCCGGCCUUCCCCGGUCUCGUCGUUCCCCCGCUGCAGCAGAGCGCCGCCAAGACCAUCUCUGCGAACGCCCUCCGCCCCGCACCCGAGCUCGUCACGGCCUCCUCUCGACGCCUGCGUCGCGCGCGAGCCCUGCUUCGCUUGCAGCGCCGACCGUCGCAGGUUCCGCGCCUUCCGCUCGCCCCGUCGCCAGGGACGCGCCGCAUGCACCAUGGCCUCCCUGUUGAUCCCGCUGGCGCCUGCUGAUUCCCCCUCCGCGGACGCGUCCACCCGAGCACAUUUGUUGUCCAGCGUUUUGACUCUGUGUUGAAGUUUGCUCCCGUCGACAUGUAAUCCGACGCUCCCUCAAAAUCCUCCUCGGUGCCUGCCAUGCCCCAUGUUCUGGGACAAGGAAACUACUUCAUGGACACCGCUCGAAGACCCGAACAAUCUCCGCUUAACCGGUGCCGACGAAGACAAAGACUACCGGCACUAAUUCAAGUCCGCCACCGACAACGAAGACGGACCCCAAGUUCUCCUUCACGGAUUCAAAGCCGACGACCCCGGCUUCAUCUUCCUCCUCUUCAAUCCGGCGACCAUCCUUGUUCCGAUACCCAUUUGCUUCUUCCCAGAUAGGAUCACGAAGUGGUGUGGCGAGAUACGCCAAGUCCUCCGGAUGUUCCUCGGCAAGCUUUAACAGGC